ensembl:rRNA 5S_rRNA 5S ribosomal RNA
GUCUAUGGCCAUGCUUUCCUGAACAAGCCCUAUCCCAUCUGAUCUCAGAAGCUAAGCUGGCUGAGACCUGGUUAGUACUUGGAUGGGAGACUAACUAAGAAGACCAGGUGCUGCAGGCA